rnacentral:rRNA from 1 species
CGAACGGGUGAGUAACGCGUAGGAACCUGUCGCACAGAGGGGGAUAACGCUGGGAAACCGGCGCUAAUACCGCAUGUGGUUCUUGGAGGGGACUUCAAGAAAGAAAGCAACAAUGCGCUGUGUGAGGGGCCUGCGUCCGAUUAGCUAGUUGGUGGGGUAAAGGCCUACCAAGGCAUCGAUCGGUAGCUGGUCUGAGAGGACGGUCAGCCACACUGGGACUGAGAUACGGCCCAG